CCUACGUGUGGCAGCAGUGAGGAAUAUUGGUCAAUGGGCGCGAGCCUGAACCAGCCAAGUAGCGUGAAGGAUGACUGCCCUACGGGUUGUAAACUUCUUUUAUAAAGGAAUAAAGUGAGGCAAGUGUGCCAUUUUGGAUGUACUUUAUGAAUAAGGAUCGGCUAACUCCGUGCCAGCCGCCGCGGUAAUACGGAGGUUCCGAGUGUUAGCCGGAUUUAGUUGGUUUAAAGAGAGCGUAGAUGGGUUGUUAAGUCAGUUGUGAAAGUGUGAGGCUCACCCGUAAAAUUGCAAUUGAUACUGGCAGUCUUGAGUACAGUUGAGUUAGGCGCAAUUCGUGGUGUAGCGGU
rnacentral:rRNA from 1 species